rnacentral:rRNA from 1 species
CAGCAGCCGCGGGAAUACGAGGGGGGCAAGCGUUGUUCGGAAUUAUUGGGCGUAAAGGGCGCGUAGGCGGUUUGGCAAGUUUCGUGUGAAAUCUUCGGGCUCAACUCGAAGUCUGCACGGAAAACUGCCGGGCUUGAGUAUGGGAGAGGUGAGUGGAAUUUCCGGUGUAGCGGUGAAAUGCGUAGAUAUCGGAAGGAACACCUGUGGCGAAAGCGGCUCACUGGACCAUAACUGACGCUGAGGCGCGAAAGCUAGGGGAGCAAACAGGAUUAGAUACCCGCGUAGUCCCUGUCUCUUAUAA